UGAGUAACACGUGGGAACGUGCCUUUAGGUUCGGAAUAGCUCCUGGAAACGGGUGGUAAUGCCGAAUGUGCCCUUCGGGGGAAAGAUUUAUCGCCUUUAGAGCGGCCCGCGUCUGAUUAGCUUGUUGGUGAGGUAAUGGCUCACCAAGGCUACGAUCAGUAGCUGGUCUGAGAGGAUGACCAGCCACAUUGGGACUGAGACACGGCCCAAACUCCUACGGGAGGCAGCAGUGGGGAAUCUUGCGCAAUGGGCGAAAGCCUGACGCAGCCAUGCCGCGUGUAUGAUGAAGGUCUUAGGAUUGUAAAAUACUUUCACCGGUGAAGAUAAUGACUGUAGCCGGAGAAGAAGCCCCGGCUAACUUCGUGCCAGCAGCCGCGGUAAUACGAAGGGGGCUAGCGUUGCUCGGAAUUACUGGGCGUAAAGGGAGCGUAGGCGGACAUUUAAGUCAGAGGUGAAAUCCCGGAGCUUAACUUCGGAACUGCCUUUGAUACUGGAUGUCUUGAGUGUGAGAGAGGUAUGUGGAACUCCGAGUGUAGAGGUGAAAUUCGUAGAUAUUCGGAAGAACACCAGUGGCGAAGGCGACAUACUGGCUCAUUACUGACGCUGAGGCUCAAAAGCGUGGGGAGCAAACAGGAUUAGAUACCCUGGUAGUCCACGCCGUAAACGAUGAUUGCUAGUUGUCGGGGAGUUUACUUCUCGGUGACGCAGCUAACGCAUUAAGCAAUCCGCCUGGGGAGUACGGUCGCAAGAUUAAAACUCAAAGGAAUUGACGG
rnacentral:rRNA from 1 species